rnacentral:rRNA from 1 species
CCUACGGGUGGCAGCAGUGGGGAAUAUUGGACAAUGGGGGCAACCCUGAUCCAGCCAUGCCGCGUGUGUGAAGAAGGCCCUCGGGUUGUAAAGCACUUUCAGUGAGGAAGAACGCCUGGUGGUUAAUACCCAUCAGGAAAGACAUCACUCACAGAAGAAGCACCGGCUAACUCCGUGCCAGCAGCCGCGGUAAUACGGAGGGUGCGAGCGUUAAUCGGAAUUACUGGGCGUAAAGCGCGCGUAGGUGGCUUGAUAAGCCGGUUGUGAAAGCCCCGGGCUCAACCUGGGAACGGCAAUCCGGAACUGCAAAGUAGAGGUGCAGAGGGGAAAGGAGGAUUUCCCGUGUUACCGGUUAAUUGGGUAGAGUCCGGAGGAAAUACCAGUGCCGAAGGCGGCCUUCUGGCCUGCCACUGACCCUGGGUUGCAAAGGCGUGGUUACCAACAGGAUUAGAUACCCCAGUAGUC